rnacentral:rRNA from 1 species
ACGGGAGGCAGCAGUGGGGAAUCUUCCGCAAUGGGCGAAAGCCUGACGGAGCAACGCCGCGUGAGUGAAGAAGGUUUUCGGAUCGUAAAGCUCUGUUGUAAGGGACGAGAGGCAGCUUCAGGAAAUGGGAGCUGGAGGACGGUACCUUGCGAGAAAGCCACGGCUAACUACGUGCCAGCAGCCGCGGUAAUACGUAGGUGGCGAGCGUUGUCCGGAAUUAUUGGGCGUAAAGGGAGCGCAGGUGGGAAUGCAAGUCAGUCUUAAAAGUGCGGGGCUCAACCCCGUGAUGGGAAUGAAACUGCAUUUCUUGAGUGCAGGAGAGGAAAGCGGAAUUCCUAGUGUAGCGGUGAAAUGCGUAGAUAUUAGGAGGAACACCAGUGGCGAAGGCGGCUUUCUGGACUGUAACUGACACUGAGGCUCGAAAGCGUGGGGAGCGAACAGGAUUAGAUACCCUGGUA